GCAGAACGCGAAGAACCUUACCAGGACUUGACAUCCCUAUCGCGGACUUUGUAAUGAAGUCUUUCAGUUCGGCUGGAUAGGUGACAGGUGCUGCAUGGCUGUCGUCAGCUCGUGUCGUGAGAUGUUGGGUUAAGUCCCGCAACGAGCGCAACCCUCAUCCUGUGUUACCAGCGGAUCAUGCCGGGGACUCUCAGGAAACUGCCCGUGACAAGCGGGAGGAAGGCGGGGAUGACGUCAAGUCAGCACGGCCCUUACGUCCUGGGCUACACACGUGCUACAAUGGUGGUGACAGUGCGCAGCGACCUCGCGAGGGGAAGCUAAUCGCAAAAAGCCAUCUCAGUUCGGAUUGUACUCUGCAACUCGAGUACAUGAAGUUGGAAUCGCUAGUAAUCGUAGGUCAGCAUACUACGGUGAAUACGUUCCCGGGUCUUGUACACACCG
rnacentral:rRNA from 1 species